ACCUUCACACUGGAAAGACAGGAAAGCUUCAACUCUGGAAAAGUGGACUGUGUUAAGGCCGUAUAUGGUUAAUCAGAUGUUACAGUCUGAGAAGCCUAUAGAGGGAACUUGUCACCACUGCAGAUCUAAGACUGCUGUUGUGAAAUGUCAGGAUUGUUUGCCUAGACCACUUCACUGUGCAGCCUGUGAUGUUUCCAUCCACAAUUCCAUGGUUUUCCAUAAUAGAUCAUCCAUGAUAGAGGGAUUCUACAGGCCACUGCCACCAACCACUCACAUCAGGGAAGAGAAGGGAGGAAAAUUCUCCUUCCAUGAAAGAGAGUGCAUUUUGCCAGUAAUGCAUCCAUGCUAUGACUGCUGCUCUGGGCAAACAACCUUUUCUGCAGGAAAGCAAGUAAUUCUGAUUGGAAUGAAUGGUCGAUACAAUGUGUCCCUCCCAACUGUCAGCUGCUCCUGUGGGAAAGCUUUGGAUGUCGGUAUUAGUGAGCUGAUUGAAAGUGGCUACUGGCCAGCUACAGUCCAUUUUGAGACGCUGUACACAGUGGAUUUGUUCGCUACAUACGAAGAGCUCAAGAUUACUGCACCAGGAAUGUAACGACAAGCUUUCGUUGGUAUGCUUGAGCAGCGCACAAAACUCUUUGGUCGGGUUAGUACAUCAUUGGACUAAUUGCCUGCAGAAUUGAAAGAGUUUAUGUGGCGACACCAUACAAAAAUCAUUCCU